UAGGGUCUUCUUUAUUUCAGCGGCAAAAAGGUUCAUGUCGCUGGAUGAAUGCCACGAAUCAUGAGUAGCAUCCAAACCCUACUCGUCACUCUUUAUAUCUAUAAAUAGACGCAGUUUGCAGAUCUUUCAACCACGCGAACCCUACUCUGGCCGUUACAGUUACUCCAUCCUAGGAAUCAAGCAUCUAUGAGAAUUGAAGUUGAUUCUUGUUCAAUCCCAUGAACUUCUUUGUGGCACAUGUGAAGAAGCAUUAUGUUUUGGUAUUCAACAAACGGAUUAUGGUCAUGUUCUCGAGGCCAUCUUCUAAGUUGUCAAUAAAUGGAGUUUGAGUUCCAUUUUUGAGAUGCUGAGGGCGAAUUCAGGACUCUGGUGGAUCAAAGACCAAAAAUAAGAUUCAUAUUUUCUCUGGCUGCCAUGCAUCGUCUAGCUAAAGUCUUUUCUUUAAUCUUGAAAAAGAUUUCAAAUGAUUUUAGGUUGACGAUGCAGGACAGCAAGAGAAAAAUUGGUGUUUAGCCUAAUCUCUGUGCAUAAUUCAAGGAACACUGAUAUUUUUAUAAAGAUGGUGACGACAUCAGCACCAUUGCAUAUAGCAAAGAUGUUAUCAGCUUGCACGGCAUUCCCAGUGCAACUAAGGUUCUAUCUCAUUUCAAGUUUCUUUUGUUCAACUUCUUUCAUCUUUUUUGUAGGAAGGGAUAACUUUCCAGACGGAAUUCUACGUAUGUCUAUCGCCCAGGAACUGGAUUCAACAAAGAAUUGCGGGUGUUGUGAAGAACUCACAACCAUCAACUUCCUUAAUCCCUAAUCAAUGCACAUGACACCCUAACACCCUACUCCCUGUUUGAGAAAAAUACAACCUAAAAGGAAAACCGUAUCUGUCGUGUUCAGAAUUAAUCUAUAGCCAGGGAUGUCAGCUGCUUUCACCAUGCAUAAUGGUAAUAUCUCUGGUGCACCUUUGCAGAUGCAGAGAGAAUUGCAGAUGGCAUCUGCAGAGAGAACGUUCUCCCUCACUUUUAAAUUUCUUUUGCAUAAAUUAUUUUUGUUGGAGGGGCACAUAACUUUCGAAAGAAAAAACUUGUAACACAUGAUAUUAGGAUUUCUCAACUUCUCAAA